UACGUAUGGAGCAAGCGUUAUCCGGAUUUACUGGGUGUAAAGGGAGCGCAGGCGGUGCGGCAAGUCAGAUGUGAAAACCCGGGGCUUAACCCCGGGACUGCAUUUGAAACUGCCGGACUAGAGUGUCGGAGAGGUAAGUGGAAUUCCUAGUGUAGCGGUGAAAUGCGUAGAUAUUAGGAGGAACACCAGUGGCGAAGGCGGCUUACUGGACGAUAACUGACGCUGAGGCUCGAAAGCGUGGGGAGCAAACGGG
rnacentral:rRNA from 1 species